rnacentral:rRNA from 1 species
AGGUGGUCAGGUAGAGAAUACCAAGGCGCUUGAGAGAACUCGGGUGAAGGAACUAGGCAAAAUGGUGCCGUAACUUCGGGAGAAGGCACGCUGAUAUGUAGGUGAAGCGACUUGCUCGUGGAGCUGAAAUCAGUCGAAGAUACCAGCUGGCUGCAACUGUUUAUUAAAAACACAGCACUGUGCAAACACGAAAGUGGACGUAUACGGUGUGACGCCUGCCCGGUGCCGGAAGGUUAAUUGAUGGGGUUAGCGGUAACGCGAAGCUCUUGAUCGAAGCCCCGGUAAACGGCGGCCGUAACUAUAACGGUCCUAAGGUAGCGAAAUUCCUUGUCGGGUAAGUUCCGACCUGCACGAAUGGCGUAAUGAUGGCCAGGCUGUCUCCACCCGAGACUCAGUGAAAUUGAACUCGCUGUGAAGAUGCAGUGUACCCGCGGCAAGACGGAAAGACCCCGUGAACCUUUACUAUAGCUUGACACUGAACAUUGAGCCUUGAUGUGUAGGAUAGGUGGGAGGCUUUGAAGUGUGGACGCCAGUCUGCAUGGAGCCGACCUUGAAAUACCACCCUUUAAUGUUUGAUGUUCUAACGUAGGCCCCUUAUCGGGGUUGCGGACAGUGUCUGGUGGGUAGUUUGACUGGGGCGGUCUCCUCCUAAAGAGUAACGGAGGAGCACGAAGGUUGGCUAAUCCUGGUCGGACAUCAGGAGGUUAGUGCAAUGGCAUAAGCCAGCUUGACUGCGAGCGUGACGGCGCGAGCAGGUGCGAAAGCAGGUCAUAGUGAUCCGGUGGUUCUGAAUGGAAGGGCCAUCGCUCAACGGAUAAAAGGUACUCCGGGGAUAACAGGCUGAUACCGCCCAAGAGUUCAUAUCGACGGCGGUGUUUGGCACCUCGAUGUCGGCUCAUCACAUCCUGGGGCUGAAGUAGGUCCCAAGGGUAUGGCUGUUCGCCAUUUAAAGUGGUACGCGAGCUGGGUUUAGAACGUCGUGAGACAGUUCGGUCCCUAUCUGCCGUGGGCGCUGGAGAACUGAGGGGGGCUGCUCCUAGUACGAGAGGACCGGAGUGGACGCAUCACUGGUGUUCGGGUUGUCAUGCCAAUGGCACUGCCCGGUAGCUAAAUGCGGAAGAGAUAAGUGCUGAAAGCAUCUAAGCACGAAACUUGCCCCGAGAUGAGUUCUCCCUGACCCUUUAAGGGUCCUGAAGGAACGUUGAAGACGACGACGUUGAUAGGCCGGGUGUGUAAGCGCAGCGAUGCGUUGAGCUAACCGGUACUAAUGAACCGUGAGGCUUAACCUUACAACGCCGAAGGUGUUU